UGGUGUGGAUGAUGAGAUUAACAAUUCUACAGUUAUCCCUGGCUGAUUUUGCAGUGAUGAUAAUUUGUAAUCUGACACACAC
rfam:Lupinus angustifolius cultivar Tanjil contig_32194, whole genome shotgun sequence.